rnacentral:lncRNA from 1 species
AUGGAUCUACGAUGGGUGUAUGAAGCGGAUCGUGACUCUAUGGAGUAUAUCAGGGGAGUAACGGCUUUCGUUGCCAUGGCAACGAGCACAAACUCAGUGGAUACGCCGGAUUAUCUGUGGCAAUUUCUGGCGCAUCGAGUCCAUGCACAUCUUCUUAUAAGGCGGCUCAUGGACAAGUUCCAUGGCGAAGAGGAGCAAUGCGAGGGAAGUGCAGGCAACUGUGACAUGCCAAAUGAGGAU